rnacentral:lncRNA from 1 species
GCCAUCAAGGCCGUUAUCCUGGUACGUACUCCACUUGUUGUGGUACUACUCACUUGCAGAUCAGCAGAUGCAACCGUUGAUUACUUCCUUUGGAAUCAAACAUAAAUAAUUUAAUAUUUUCAAGAAAAUAUUAAUGAAAAUUGCCUAUCUUUUUUUCAGUCCAGUAAGAAUAAAUACUAGUUUAAGACAUUUUUUUAUUGUUUAGAAUGAGUUAAGAUUCGUGCAGCUACAAACCUUUAUUGUUCCUCUCUCUCUGUACGACGCGAUUUCGCCACACCGUCGGAUCAUGAGCCUAUCCCCAACCCACCACCACCCUCCAACCUAAACUGACCGGAACGAGGUGUCCCUGCUCGUCAGUUUUAUUAUACCGGUUACUCAUACAGCAGCAGAUGCCAUGGCCGCUCUACUUUUCAACCACUCUAGAUCCCACGCUCUCACCGCUAACGCCUGACUUUGUCCACCAGCCUAGCCCUCUUGCCCAUAGGUUCAUGAUCCAACCGUUGUUGUGAACAUAGAAAAAAAGAUCCUCUAAAAUAUUGCCC